rnacentral:rRNA from 1 species
UACGAGUAUCCCCAGUGCCGGAGUGAAGAUGUUAAGUCCACUGCCUGGGGAGUACGGUCGCAAGGCUGAAACUUAAAGGAAUUGGCGGGGGAGCACAGCAACGAGAGGAGCGUGCGGUUUAAUUGGAUUCAACGCCGGAAAACUCACCAGUGCCGACGGACAUAUGAAGAUCAGCGUGAUGAGCUUAUUGGAUUGUUCGAGAGGUAGUGCAUGGCCGUCGUCAGUUCGUACCGUAAGGCGUUCUGUUAAGUCAGAUAACGAACGAGACCCCUAUCGUCUAUUUGCUAAACGGAUCUCCGGAUUCGUCGCACUAUAGCGAGACCGCUGGCGUGAAGUCAGAGGAAGGUGGGGGCAACGNCAGGUCAGUAUGCUCCGAAUGCACUGGGCUACACGCGCGCUACAAAGGCCAGGACAAUGGGUCUGCCACGCCGAGAGGCGGCGCUAUCCCGAAACCUGGUCGUAGUUCGGAUCGAGGGCUGUAAUUCGCCCUCGUGAAGCUGGAUUCUCGUAGUAAUCGCGUCUCAAAAUGGACGCGGUGAAUA